CUAUACAUGACUCUGUGCAUAUCAAUAAGCGGAGGAAAAGAAACUAACAAGGAUUCCCCUAGUAACGGCGAGUGAAGCGGGAAGAGCUCAAAUUUGAAAUCUUAAAGGGUUUCCCUUUACGAAUUGUAGUUUAAAGAAGUGUUUUCUGUUGAGGUUUUGGUAAAAGUUCUUUGGAAUAGGACAUCAUAGAGGGUGAGAAUCCCGUAUUUGACCUUUACUUUCAACUUUGUGAUACACUUUCAAAGAGUCGGAUUGUUUGGGAAUGCAGUCCAAAAUGGGUGGUAAAUUUCAUCUAAAGCUAAAUAUUGGCGAGAGACCGAUAGCGAACAAGUACCGUGAGGGAAAGAUGAAAAGAACUUUGAAAAGAGAGUUAAACAGUACGUGAAAUUGUCAAAAGGGAAGCGUUUGACACCAGUGUUGUUUUUCUGAAAAUCAAUUAAAGAACUGUUUAUGCUAAGCUGUUUAGACUUUAUCAGCUAACUGUUUAGUUUUGAGCUUUUCUUUAAUGCACUUUUCAGUUAACAAGUCAACAUCAAUUUCUUUUGCUGUAAAAAAGCUUGAGGAAGGUGGCUUGAGAUUCGUCCUUAAGUGUUUAUAGCCUCUUGCCUAUGCAGUCGGAGAGAUUGAGGUCUGCAGCGUAGAUCCUUCGGGGCUAAAUGCAUUUGUGCUAAGUUAUAGCAUUUUAUAGACAACUUGUUGACUAUGAUUUGUCUUGUAGCUUACUCGCUUAUGUUAUUUUACCUACGCUUAGGAUGUUGACAGCAGUAUAGACUGU
rnacentral:rRNA from 1 species